GCCCCUGUAGCUCAGAGGAUAGAGCAACGGUUUCCUAAACCGUGUGCCACAGGUUCGAGUCCUGUCAGGGGCGCCA
rnacentral:tRNA from 1 species